rnacentral:rRNA from 1 species
UACGUAGGGUCCGAGCGUUGUCCGGAAUUACUGGGCGUAAAGAGCUCGUAGGUGGUUUGUCGCGUUGUUCGUGAAAACUCACAGCUUAACUGUGGGCGUGCGGUCGAUACGGGCAUCACUGGAGUUCGGCAGGGGAGACUGGAAUUCCUGGUGUAGCGGUGAAAUGCGCAGAUAUCAGGAGGAACACCGGUGGCGAAGGCGGCCUUCUGGACAGUGACUGACGCUGAGACGCGAAAGCGUGGGGAGCAAACAGG